rnacentral:lncRNA from 1 species
AUGCCAUGUGAAGACUCAGGGAGAAUGUGACAUCUGCAAGCCAAGGAGAGAGGCUGCAGGAGAAACCAGCUCUGCUGACACUUUGAUCUCAAGCUCUGGCCACCAGAACUGUGAGCAAAUAAGUGUCUGUUGUUUAGGGCACCCUGUCCAUGGCACCUUGCUCCGAUAGCCCCAGGAAACGAAUCCACAGAGGAGGAAGCCGAGGUUGGGAAAGGUGGAGGGACUUGCCCAAGUCACACAAACGACAACUCAGCAGAGCUGAGAAUUGGCACCCAGGGCAACUGGAGUCCAUCCUGAGCUUGUCACUGCUGGGCUCUGAGACCUCCUGGUGAAGAAGGACAGUGGCAGAGACAGCCCGACCCAGAGAAACCCAGCAACGCUACUUUCUAAGGACAUUUUUCCCUCUCAUUUGGAAUCCUGAGCCUCCUGCUCGUCCUGUAGGCCACACCCGGCAAACAGAGCUGGCUGGGAACUGGGAGAAGAGCUGGAGCAACAGCCUGCAUCCAUUUCCUCUUGCUGCAAUAACAACUGAUCACAAGAUGGAGUCUCACUCUGUCAACCAGGCUGGAGUGCACUGGCGCAAUCUCGGCUCACUGCAGUCACCUCCUCUCAGGUUCAAGCGAUUCUCCUGCCUCUGCCUCCUGAGUAGCUGGGAUUACAGGUGCAUGCCACCACGCUCUGCUAAUUUUUGUAUUUUUAGUUGAGACGGGGUUUCACUGUGUUGGCCAGGCUGGUCUGGAACUCCUGACCUCAGGUGAUCCGGCUGCCUCAGCCUCCCAAAGUACUGGGAUUACAGGCAUGAGCCACCACACCUUGCCACAAAUGUGGUUUUUAAAAAUAUCUUGAUAGCCAUAUUUCCAGUGACUCGGUUUCCUGUGUAAUCCUACAUAUUUGUUAUGCAUGUAACAAAGAAGACAGGGCAUGAAGGUGUCACCAGAUGCCACAGCGGCCCACAGCACAGAAAAGGUCACAACCACCUACUUCAGAGAAAGGCACUGGGGACCUUGGCUAUGUGGACAAGAACCAGGAGCCUUGGGCUUCCCAGGCACAGCGGGGAAGCCUGCAGGGGCCUGACAGGUGGAUAACCUAGUGCCCAAGGCAGGGCUGGGUGGAGGAGAGAGUGGCACCCUCUGAUUGUCUGAGAUCUCCAUCCCUAGAGGACAGUACCACAGAUUGGAAGCCAGGUCUUUCCAGAGUCCCUGUGACCUCCUCUUUCUACACGAAACCCAGAUUGAGUAGGAAAAUGUCCCCAGGAGGAAGCAGCCACUGCCCAAGGGAGACAGCUAGAGACUCGCUGGGCAGUCUACAUCCCUGGGCUUCUCUCGGACCCGACAAGAGCCUGUCCAUCCCUUCACCUCCACUAAGAUCAGGGCACCCCAGGAGUUCCAUCCCUUCACCUCCACUAAGAUCAGGGCACCCCAGGAGUCUCGGCAGGGCCACCCCAGUCUCUGCUCUGCCCUGGAAAGGUCCUCGUUUCACACUGACUCAGUUUCAGUUUUGGAAGGAGGUCAGAGGUUGCCUCCAUGUCCCUUCUCCCCACUGGUUCUCUGGAACCCUCCAUCAUAGAUGUCCCUGCCCUUCCUUCCCUGCUCAGGAGCAAAACCCCCAACCCCCAGGAGCUGGCCUCUCUAAGUCCUCUUGGAUCAGGCCAGGCUCAGCCCUGGAGGCCACAGCUCAGGCCCUGAGCCAGCCCAAGGGGCAGGGCAAGGAACCUAUAUUGUUGUGUGCCCAGCCCCUUUAAGGGGCCCAUACAGACAAGAGCAAAUUCAGUAGGUUGCGUCAUCCACUCUAUAGUGAUUAAACAAGGAUGGUGGAGAAGUAGAGAAGUGUCAGCUCUGGAACCAGGUGGCCCUAGAUUGAAAUCCUAGCUCUACUAUUUACCAGCCAGGUGGCCUUGGGUAGGUGAUUUGACCAGUACCGUUCCUCCGUUUCCCCACCUUGAGUGUUAUUGCAAGGAUUAAAUGAGCUACUACAAAGUAAAGUACUAAAUAUAUAUCAGCUAUUAUUAUUAUUACUACUACUAUUAUUAUUAUGAGCCAGGAGAUGGGGACUGAGACAUAGGCUGCUGGGUAUCUUCUCUCCUCUCCUCUUCCUUGAGAAUAGCCCACCCCAUCCUUAGCUGGGUGUAUGGCCACCUGGCCUAAAACUACAUUUCCCAGCAUCCCUUGCUGCUAGAUGUGACCAUGUGAUCAAGUUCUGGCCAAUGAGAUGCCAGGAGAAGUGGUUUGGACCACUUCCUGGGAGUUUUGUUUAAAGGACAGAGGCAAUGCCUUCUUUUUUUCUCCCUUCUGCUGACCAGAAUGUGAGCAUGGAGUCUGGAGCAGGAGCAGCUGUUGUGCACUGUGAGGUUGAAGCCGUGUGUUGAGAAUAGCAGAGCAGCUCCUAAUGGAGCUGGAGCCCCCAGGGGCCAUGAAGCCCCUACCAGCCCUGGACUGCUUAGAUUUACUUGAGCAAGAAAUAAACCCUUGAUUGUUUAAACCG